rnacentral:lncRNA from 1 species
UAAUGUCAAAGUGCUCUUUUUCUACUUUCAUAGCCUUGGUAGUAGGGCUUUUGAAAAAGGUCCCCUUUGCUGACAACUUCUUCAGGUCCUGGCUGGGAGCUUUUUACCUUCCAAACUGAAUUUCAAGCUACAGUAUUUUCACAAUUACCAUUUUUAUCUUCUCGUGGAAAAUGUAAAUUAACUGCUGAAUUUUUCUAAUUCUUUUUUUCUAAUUCUUGUUUUCCUUGGAAAAAAAAUUGUGGAAUCUGAAUAUUUUUCUUUUUGUAUUUCUUUUCACACAUGCUCUUCAGUGAAGCAAUUAAUUUAGAAUGCGUGCAGAAAAUGAAUUCUGGUUGGCUCAUGAUACCAUUUAAUUCUGAAGAGUAUAAAUCCCAUCUAUCUGCCUGGUGCGUGACACAAACUCAGAACAUUUUGGGCUGGAAGGAAUGUUCAGAGAUCACUGAUUUCAGCCCCCAGUGCUCUUGAUUAGGCAACUGCAUAAACUUUGUGCAUCUGGUAAGUCUGUUGCAUAAAAUUUCCAGUGUAUCUGAUAAUUUACUGCUAAACUUGUCCUGAUUUUUUUUUUUGAGGA